rnacentral:rRNA from 1 species
AGUGAACGCUGGCGGUAUGCCUAACACAUGCAAGUCGAACGGCAGCACAGUAAGAUCUUGCUCUUACCGGUGGCGACUGGCGGACGGGUGACGAAUGCAUCGCAAUCUUCUUUUUCGUGGGUGAUAACGUAGGGAAACUUACGCUAAUACCGCAUACGACCUACGGGUGAAAGCAGUGGAUCUUCGGACCUUGCGCGAUUGUAUGAGCCGGUGUCGGAUUAGCUAGUUGGCAGGGUAACGUCCCACCAAGGCGACGAUCCGUAGCCGAUCUGAGAGGAUGAUCGGCCACACUGGAACUGAGACACGGUCCAGACUCCUACGGGAGGCAGCAGUAGGGAAUAUUGGACAAUGGGCGCAAGCCUGAUCCAGCCAUACCGCGUGGGUGAAGAAGGCCUUCGGGUUGUAAAGCCCUGUUGUUGGGGAAGAAAAGCAGCAGAUUAAAACCCCGCUGUUCUGACGGUACCCAAAGAAUAAGCACCGGCUAACUACGUG